UUCAAACGUCCCAAAGUGUUCUGUCCGAAAAACAAAAAGAAGAAAAACCUUUCUAUAGCAGGCGUUGAAAAAAACCUCCCAACUCUAUCUUCUUCUCUCGCUCCAACUCCAACAGACUCGGAGGAGGAGGGUGUUUUCAGUUAGAAAGUGCCCAGUUUGUACAGAAUAGUCCAUUGCUCUUUUCUGGGUUCUGAUUGAGCUGUAAUGGGUUUAGAGUAAGUGUGGCUUUGCUAUACUUGUAAUUGAGCUGUGAAGUGGUGGAGGAUUUUGCUUGGCCAAAUUGGUUGGUAUUCAAAAGAUUUUUGUAGGUAGCAGAAAUGACUUCUGUUGAAUUUUGAGGAUUUACAAUCCGUAUUCCUAAUUGAGUGACACAUAAAGAUGAUUGGGAGAAAAGGCAUGGGGCGUGCAUCACCAAUACUUUUGGUGCUUUUGGCACUUGGGUUUUUCUUUGCAUCUUAUAAUUUGUUAACUGUGGUAAUACACAACAAGGCUUCAUACUUGGGCCUUUGGGGGGCAGAUCGGUUGAUAGAGCCCGUGAUUCAGAGGCAUGAGAACGCGAAGAAUUCGAAAUAUCAUGUUGCUCUUACAGCAACUGAUGCUCCCUAUAGCCAAUGGCAGUGUCGGAUUAUGUAUUACUGGUACAAGAAGGUAAAAGACAUGCCUGGAUCAGAUAUGGGAAAGUUCACACGAGUUUUGCAUUCUGGAACUGCUGACAAUUUGAUGGAGGAGAUUCCAACAGUUGUGGUUGAUCCUCUUCCAGGGGACUUGGAUCGGGGCUAUAUUGUCCUAAAUAGACCAUGGGCUUUUGUGCAAUGGCUAGAGAAAGCAACAAUCGAGGAAGAAUACAUUCUAAUGGCCGAACCUGACCACAUAUUUGUAAAUCCCUUGCCAAACUUGGCACAUGGAAACAGUCCAGCAGGGUAUCCAUUUUUCUACAUUAUACCAGCUGAAAAUGAGAAAAUAAUUAGGAAAUUUUAUCCUGAGGAAAAAGGUCCUGUGACUGAUAUUGAUCCCAUUGGCAAUUCUCCUGUAAUCAUAAAGAAGUCCUUGCUGGAGGAAAUUGCUCCCACAUGGGUGAAUGUUUCUUUGAGAAUGAAAGAUGACCCAGAGACUGAUAAGGCCUUUGGAUGGGUGCUUGAGAUGUACGCAUAUGCUGUAGCAUCUGCAUUGCAUGGAGUGCGGCAUAUUCUUCGUAAAGACUUCAUGCUGCAGUUUAAGCGUGCAGCCUCCAUGGGAUUUGGAAGUGGGAAAGACGUUCAUCAUCCAUUAUACUUAUGGAUGCGACUAUAAUUUAAAGGGAGAACUGACUUAUGGCAAGAUUGGAGAAUGGCGUUUUGACAAGAGAUCAUAUCUUAAUGGUCCUCCACCAAGAAACCUCUCCUUGCCCCCUCCAGGAGUUCCUGAAAGUGUGAUAAGGCUCGUGAAAAUGGUUAAUGAGGCUACAGCAAACAUUCCUGGGUGGAACACAUUAACUAGUGGGUGAGAUGAAAAGUAAGAUAUAAGCCCAUCAAUUCUUCUCUUGCUUACUGGUAUUUUAAAGCCUGUCAGGGAGUUCUGUCGAUACGGAAUUUAACAUAGCAAAAGAAUGUUAUAGGUAGAAAAGGAAUGUCUUGAUGAGUCAAAAAGGAUCUUUUGUUGUUGGUGCACUUUUACAUACAGCCAUGAAGGCUACUAAAUUCUUUUGUAUACGUUCACAUGUUGGAAUUACUUACACUUAAUUGAAAGUUUUCAACAAUAAGAUUUUGGAGCCCUUGCUAAUCAGAAAUUAGUAAUUAAGAAGGGCAGUUUACUUUUC